rnacentral:rRNA from 1 species
UACGUAGGGCGCAAGCGUUAUCCGGAAUUAUUGGGCGUAAAGAGCUCGUAGGCGGUUUGUCGCGUCUGCCGUGAAAGCCCGAGGCUCAACCUCGGAACUGCCUUCGAUACUGCGGGUCUCGAGUCCGGGAGAGGUGAGUGGAAUUCCUAGUGUAGAGGUGAAAUUCGUAGAUAUUAGGAAGAACACCAGUGGCGAAGGCGGCUCACUGGCCCGGUACUGACGCUGAGGCGCGAAAGCGUGGGGAGCAAACAGG